AUUGAACGCUGGCGGCAUGCCUUACACAUGCAAGUCGAACGGUAACGCGGGGCAACCUGGCGACGAGUGGCGAACGGGUGAGUAAUACAUCGGAACGUGCCCAGUAGUGGGGGAUAGCCCGGCGAAAGCCGGAUUAAUACCGCAUACGACCUACGGGUGAAAGCAGGGGAUCGCAAGACCUUGCGCUAUUGGAGCGGCCGAUGUCAGAUUAGGUUGUUGGUGGGGUAAAAGCCUACCAAGCCGACGAUCUGUAGCUGGUCUGAGAGGACGACCAGCCACACUGGGACUGAGACACGGCCCAGACUCCUACGGGAGGCAGCAGUGGGGAAUUUUGGACAAUGGGCGCAAGCCUGAUCCAGCCAUGCCGCGUGAGUGAAGAAGGCC
rnacentral:rRNA from 1 species